UACGUAGGGGGCAAGCGUUGUCCGGAAUCAUUGGGCGUAAAGCGCGCGUAGGCGGCCAGAUAAGUCCGGUGUGAAAGUCACAGGCUCAACCUGUGAAUGCCGCUGGAAACUGUCUGGCUUGAGUCCGGAAGGGGCGAGUGGAAUUCCUGGUGUAGCGGUGAAAUGCGCAGAUAUCAGGAGGAACACCAAUGGCGAAGGCAGCUCGCUGGAACGGUACUGACGCUGAGGCGCGAAGGCGUGGGGAGCGAACGGG
rnacentral:rRNA from 1 species